rnacentral:sRNA from 1 species
UAUAACUGCUGAAUCCUAAAAAUUAUAGGUACGGAGGAACCAUUUAAGGGGUUAAUCCACAUUUCUGUGGUAGGGAGCCUUCUAUCCCGAACCCGUCAGCUAACUUCGGAAGCCUUAU